GAACCGACGGGAACCGUUGAUCCGCGUGGUCCACACCGACGCCGCGGCUCCGCCAGGAGCACGGCGCACGGAGAGACACGGUCGCCUAGACCGCGCGGGGAGGUAGUGGCGAGACCGGCUCGUCCGAGC
rnacentral:ncRNA from 1 species